GCUGGUGUCUGGGAGACAACAAUGUGGAGAGGAAAGGGGAGAAGAGGAACACUCAAUGUUUCUUGCUUUUAGCCACAUCUCAUUUCAUGCUAUUGUGCUGAAAUGGCUGGAAGCUUUGGGAAGGUAGAAACGUGGGCUUCUAAUUCUGGAAUUACUGAUGAAGACAAAAGAAAGUUCGGGUUUGUUAGCUUGGUUCUCCUGCCCUCAUUUCAGCUCCUCCAAAGAAUAAUGUAGAGAAACAAAUGUGAGAAAUUUGUUUCUAAACUACCACUAAAGACAGAGGUGUGAACUGAACUCAAGAUGGGACUGUAAACUCAUGAUUCAGCUCUCCAAGACAGGAACUAAGAUGCAGAGAGAGGAAGGGUCUUGCCCAAGGACACACAGUAAAGUAACAGCAGAGCUAUUAACAGUUAAAAGAUGAGGAAACAGUCCCAGAGAGGUAAAGAACUUGCCUGCACUGAAGUCUGUGUUCUCCACUACUUCAAUCUACCACCUCCAAGGAUGAUGUUGUAGCUUGAUGUAGCCUGUGGCUUGAAAUAUGGUGGGAAUAUUCAUGUCACAGAAAUCAGCAAAUACUACAAAUCAGCUUGUUUUGUUGAUUGUCACAGUUUAAGAAAGUGAUGAAGGACUUCCCUGGUGAUGCAGUGGUUAAAAAUCCACCUGCCAGUGCAGGGGACAUGGGUUUGAUCCCUGGUCCGGGAAGAUCCCACAUGCCACAG